rnacentral:rRNA from 1 species
UUCACACGACAAUGCAUCAAGGUGCUGCAGUGCGUGUCGUCGGCUCGUCCCGUGAGGUGUCGGGUUAAGUCCCAUAACGAGCGCAACCCAUCUCCAUUAGUUUCCUGCAGGUAAUGGUGGGGACUCUAAAGAGACCUGCCGUGGGUAACCAGAGAUGGAAGCUGGGGAUGACGUCACAAUCAGCACGGCCCUUACGUCCAUGGGCUACAUCACGUGUUCCAAUGGUCGGUACAAAGGGCUGCUACCUAGCGAUAUGAUGCCUAAUCUCAUAAAACCGGUCGUCAGUUCGGAUCGGAGUCUUCAACUUGACUCCGUGAAUGCUGGAUUCGCUACUAUUCGCAUAUCAGCCAUGAUGCGGCGAAUACGUUCCCGGGCCUUGUACACACCGCCCGUCAAACCAUAGAUGUUGGGCCUCC